rnacentral:rRNA from 1 species
AUUGAACGCUGGCGGCAGGCCUAACACAUGCAAGUCGAACGAGUGGCGGACGGGUGAGUAAUGUCUGGGAAACUGCCCGAUGGAGGGGGAUAACUACUGGAAACGGUAGCUAAUACCGCAUACCAUCGGAUGUGCCCAGAUGGGAUUAGCUCGUAGGUGGGGUAACGGCGCACCUGGGCGACGAUCCCUACCUGGUAUGAGCGGAUGGCCAGCCAAACUGGAACUGGGGCAAGGUCCAGACUCCUAAGGGAGGCAGGAGUGGGGAAUAUUGCAAAAUGGGCGCAAUCCUGAUGCAGCCAUGCCGCGUGUAUGAAGAAGGCCUUCGGGUUGUAAAGUACUUUCAGCGAGGAGGCGUUACUCGCAGAAGAAGCACCGGCUAACUCCGUGCCAGCAGCCGCGGUAAUUC